UUGACCUCAGAUCAGGUAGGAAUACCCGCUGAACUUAA
rnacentral:rRNA from 6 species